rnacentral:lncRNA from 1 species
GUAUGUAAUGGAGUAUUACCAACUUGAAAAUAGUGUUCAGGUAAAACCACCAGAGGUGGACAAACAUCAUGAACAACACACAUCCACUUGGGAACACCAAACACCGUUUCAUGCAUUCACUGUAUUAUGCUACUAUAAAAAUAUUAUAACCAUGACAUUGAGUGUAACAGAAAAAAAGGGAACUUCCCAGACUGAAUGAGUUGAAAUUUGGUUCCCAAGAGAGCACUUAAAGAUGUACUUGUGAUGACAUUCCCCAUUGUUUGCAGCCUGCAAUAUUCAUGACAAACAUUAGUUCAUGCUUCACUGUGACUGAAAUAAUUAGAUGAAAGAUUGCAUAGAGAUUAUACUUCUAGCUUUAAUUUUAAAAAUUAUUAACACUGGAUAGCCUACAUGAAGAAUAGGUUUAGGCUUGAAGAGAUUAGGAAUGCCUCAUAUUGUCAACUAUAGUUACCAAAUGUAUUAUUACAAAAAAAUUUAUUCCAUGACCAUGGAAAGAUCUCUUAAGCAAAUCGACUAUACCAACCAGAUUCUCCAGUACAAUGAGAAACAAUCUGGCUACUUAGAACUGAAAGUUAGAGUUGAACCAGAACCCUCUCAGUUCUUACUACCAGAACUGUUAUUGAAGUGAGGUCUGAACUGUGGCUGAUUGGCUACCUACUAGUAUGUGCAUUUAUACCCGAAUCCAAAUGUUCAGCAGGGCCCACCCAACUUGUUAUGCCAGUUUUCAGUCUAUAUCAUGUAAUUAAAUUUGAGUUUUUACUAGGAAAGUGAAAACAUUAUCGAUUUCCACUUACAGUGAUACGAUUUAGUACUUUAUUUCAGCUAACAAACCUGGAAGGGAGACACUCUAGACUCCGUGCGUAUGGUAGACCUGGGAGCAAAACUGUGCUCAUGAUCUCUAACAAUCCUUCUGGUUCGAUGGGAGUGAUGAAUCCCCAAUGAUUUUUAUGCACCACAGCGGAUAAUGGAGCAGCUAUACGAGUGUGUGCUGUUACUUGCACUAAUGUAAGAAACAAAUCAUGGGCUUCAAAGAAAUCAGCAAGUAGCUGUCUUGUCACUUCUCUACCAUUCUCUAACAAUCAGAAGUAUGUUUUGCAUUAAAUUUUCCUCCUUCAAGUAUGUCACUGUGUUUUUAGAAUGGAUAAAAAGAACUAAUACAGAGGAAUAAAACUUCAGAGGGUAACAAUAUUGGUCAGAAGCAUUACUCAAUUUAAGAGAAGGUUACAAUUGUAGUAUGUUUGAUCUCUAUAGGGCAGCCAGUAUCAUACAAAGCACAAGGCUCGGCUAGAAAUGGGCCGAAAAAGAAGAGGAACCCAGAGACUGAGAUUUUCACCUGGCAAAAUCAAGGUGUCCACUCACGUUACUCACCCCAACCUACGAUCAGAAUAUCAAUUGCAUCAGCACAUAUGUUUUUAUGAACAUACAGACUCAUUGGUUUGAGGAAACGUGCCAAGUCUUCCUCGGCUCACAUCAUGUAAGCAGUUGUGUGUGGAGGAACUAUUUGGUUUGUGUAACGUCCCUACCAAUAUGUGCAGAAAAACUGUUAACAAAGGGCAAGGCCGUAAAAAAAACGAUCAUCACUGUGACUUCUACACAUAACAUCUAAUGUCGCAUUUGAGAGUACCAUUACCAUCAGAACGGUUUGUUGAGCUAACUGAAGCUUACUUUGUAUAAUGGUAAAAACAUCAACAUAUUUGCUACUACAAGACUACGUAGCAUCAGAAACAACAAACACAAAUGUUCAAAACCGUCUCUCCAGUCCAUAAAUUACCUGUGCAGAUUGUAGAACUGGGCAACUUUGAACUAGAAAUUCGUCAAAUGAUGCACCAUGCCCUGAAAUUCAGCCGUGUGCCAUAGGAACCUGCGAUCACGGAACACAGUGCUGCAGGUAAGCCACUCUCGAGCACUACAAGCUCCUGAAACACGAUUGAUACCGGCGAGAAACUCCGGGCUCGUCUAUUUCGUCGAACACCUACCGCGCCCUUGCGAGAGCAGACGACUUCGCCUGGGUAAAUCACGCGUCCGAGGCCAGGCAAUGGCAGCCCACGCCCCGCGAUCCAUCCAGUGCAAGACCGGGCCGCGCAGGAUCACACGCGGGAGCGGCU